AAACUAUUCCGCUCCGGAAUCAAUCCUGCAAGAUGCACACUGCAGGAGAAGCCUUUGGCUUUUUUGGGUGAUGAUGGCCAACCUAUCACCUAACUCUCACUACUGUGUGACAUCGAGAGACUCCAUCCUGGGAUGUUACUCUGCCUUCCCACACUUAUGACCUCCCAGCAAAUCCGGUAUGAUACACAUCAGAGCAGUGGAUUCUUCUAGAAAAGACUGAAAUAUGAACAAGAAGAUAUAACCUCAAACAUUUUC